GACGAACGCUGGCGGCGUGCUUAACACAUGCAAGUCGAACGGAAAGGCCCUGCUUUUGUGGGGUGCUCGAGUGGCGAACGGGUGAGUAACACGUGAGUAACCUGCCCUUGACUUUGGGAUAACUUCAGGAAACUGGGGCUAAUACCGGAUAGGAGCUCCUGUUGCAUGGUGGGGGUUGGAAAGUUUCGGCGGUUGGGGAUGGACUCGCGGCUUAUCAGCUUGUUGGUGGGGUAGUGGCUUACCAAGGCUUUGACGGGUAGCCGGCCUGAGAGGGUGACCGGCCACAUUGGGACUGAGAUACGGCCCAGACUCCUACGGGAGGCAGCAGUGGGGAAUAUUGCACAAUGGGCGGAAGCCUGAUGCAGCAACGCCGCGUGCGGGAUGACGGCCUUCGGGUUGUAAACCGCUUUCGCCUGUGACGAAGCGUGAGUGACGGUAAUGGGUAAAGAAGCACCGGCUAACUACGUA
rnacentral:rRNA from 1 species